rnacentral:tRNA from 1 species
GGCUCGUUGGUCUAGGGGUAUGAUUCUCGCUUUGGGUGCGAGAGGUCCUGGUUCGAAUCCCGGACGAGCCC